rnacentral:rRNA from 1 species
UACACUCCUGCGGGAGGCAGCAGUGGGGAAUUUUGGACAAUGGGGGCAACACUGAUCAAGCAAUGCCGCGUGAGUGAAGAAGGCCUUCGGGUUGUAAAGCUCUUUUGUCAGGGAAGAAACGGUGGUGGCGAAUAACUACUACUAAUGACGGUACCUGAAGAAUAAGCACCGGCUAACUACGUGCCAGCAGCCGCGGUAAUACGUAGGGUGCAAGCGUUAAUCGGAAUUACUGGGCGUAAAGCGUGCGCAGGCGGUUGUGUAAGUCAGAUGUGAAAUCCCCGGGCUCAACCUGGGAAUUGCAUUUGAGACUGCACGGCUAGAGUGUGUCAGAGGGGGGUAGAAUUCCAAGUGUAGCAGUGAAAUGCGUAGAUAUGUGGAGGAAUACCGAUGGCGAAGGCAGCCCCCUGGGAUAACACUGACGCUCAUGCACGAAAGCGUGGGGAGCAAACAGGAUUAGAAACCCCAGUAGUCCCAUGAU